UACGAAGGGGGCUAGCGUUGUUCGGAAUCACUGGGCGUAAAGCGCACUUAGGCGGGUCUUUAAGUCAGGGGUGAAAUCCCGAGGCUCAACCUCGGAACUGCCUUCGAUACUGGGGAUCUCGAGUCCGGGAGAGGUGAGUGGAACUGCGAGUGUAGAGGUGAAAUUCGUAGAUAUUCGCAAGAACACCAGUGGCGAAGGCGGCUCACUGGCCCGGAACUGACGCUGAGGUGCGAAAGCGUGGGGAGCAAACAGG
rnacentral:rRNA from 1 species